CAAGCUGACGUUCUAGAUAAUCCAAGGUUAAUGUGAAGCGUCGCUCGUAUCCCUUGCUAGACUGUCUCUGAUUCACAGUUUGAGAAGCGCGAGGGGUGCAAUGAAAUUUCCAAUUCUACUUCCUUGGGUCACUUUGCCUCAGUUGUCUUAUCAGCGUAAACGGGAAAUUAAUAUCUCCCUCGUGGCACUGGCAGGAGAAUUUAUAGGGCCAAUGCACACGAUAGAGCACCUGGGUCAUAGAAGAAAGCACUGAGCUCAUUCUGGUUGAAAGUCAUCCACUAGUUAUCUUCUUGUGACCUUUAACUUUUCUAAGGCCGAGGGGAAGGACUUCCGAGCACAGGCAGCUGGAACUCCAGGGCUGUUAGAGCCACCGCGGGCACCUUCACAAACAGCGGGUUAACACCCCAACCCUAUAUAGGCAAGCCCGGCCUGGGAACAACAAACGAGUGGGGAAGCACGUCCUUUUGGCUGGACUGAAGCCGCCACUUUCCCUUCCGCGACAAACUUGGUGACUUACAAAGAAGAGAGAAAACGGAGUGAGCUGCAGCGAAAAUAAACGGUGGAGCGCGACGAUGCCCGCCAAGAAGACUCCCCAGUCACUUACCCGCCUGCUUGCCAGCCAUUUUGACCAGAAAAUGAAACGUUGCCUUCUGGGUAAGUCAUAGAGGACACGCUGGGCCCAGUCCGCAGGCGCGUUACGCCACAUCGCGAACCGAGAAACGCCGCUUGCGCAGGCGCAGUUCUGACGGCUGUCGUUGAGCUCUUGCGUGUGCACUUCUCGGCAAGGGUGAGGCCAAUGGAGUAGUAGGCGGGGCGUUUUGCGUGCUACAUUCCAAGAAGUAUUGGUUGUGAUGUGAUGGGAAGAACACAGCCAAAGUGAAGUCUGAAAGAUGUGAAGAAAUGCAAUACAUAUGUACAUUGGCACAUUGCCCUGCAGAGGAAUCAAAAUGAAAUGAAUCUGACCUCUGCGAGAGCAACUGGGAAAAUAUGUCUUACCUGCCUCAAACUAAAACUCCUAAAAACUACAGUGAGAAGCAACUUUAGAAAGGAGUCAGAAGCAGGCAAGGCUCUACAGCCGACUGCAGAAAGAAGAGAGAAAUGGGAGAUCUGGCCAGACUUGAGCUACAGCCCUGAAGCCUGAGAGAUCUGUGAGGCCCCCUAGCGAGGCUCAGAGGAAGCCCUUUCAAUAUUAUGCCUGCCUCAAGCUCUCCUCUUGGCUGUUACAGACACAAUGUGAACACAGGACAUGAUACACAACCCCUAGGCCUCUUUCCCUACAUUCAAGUGAAAACAGUAACAGAUCAGUUGGAAAGGACACUAUGAAAAACAAUUGUUGAAAACCAAAGUACUAUGAGAAGAGUGACUACAAAAAGUACAGGGUGCUACCUCAACAUGGGAUUGGCUUGCUUUUGGAACAGAACAUCUCUCUUUUCAGUCUCUGCUAUUCUGCCCUUGUUCUGAUCAUUAAAUUCCCAUGAUCACAAUA